AGCAGCCGCGGUAAUUCCAGCUCCAAUAGCGUAUAUUAAAGUUGUUGCAGUUAAAAGCUCGUAGUUGAAUUUCGGGGUCAGUAGGUUGGUCAUGCCACUGGUAUGUACUGGUCUCACUGAUUCCUCCUUCCUGAUGAACUGUAAUGCCAUUAAUUUGGUGUUGCAGGGAAUCUGGACUGUUACUUUGAAAAAUUAGAGUGUUUCAAAGCAGGCUAACGCCUGAAUACAUUAGCAUGGAAUAAUGAAAUAGGACGUUCGAUCCUAUUUUGUUGGUUUCUAGGAUUGACGUAAUGAUUAAUAGGGAUAGUUGGGGGCAUUAGUAUUCAAUUGUCAGAGGUGAAAUUCUUGGAUUUAUUGAAGACUAACUACUGCGAAAGCAUUUGCCAAAGAUGUUUUCAUUGAUCAAGAACGAAAGUAAGGGGAUCGAAGACGAUUAGAUACCGUCGUAGUCUUUACCAUAAACUAUGCCAACUAGGGAUCGGAGGGCGUUAUAAUGACCCCUUCGGCACCUUGCGGGAAACCAAAGUGUUUGGGUU
rnacentral:rRNA from 1 species